rnacentral:rRNA from 1 species
UACGUAGGGGGCAAGCGUUAUCCGGAUUUACUGGGUGUAAAGGGAGCGUAGACGGCAGUGCAAGUCUGGAGUGAAAGGCGGGGGCUCAACCCCCGGACUGCUCUGGAAACUGUACGGCUGGAGUGCAGGAGAGGUAAGUGGAGUUCCUAGUGUAGCGGUGAAAUGCGUAGAUAUUAGGAGGAACACCAGUGGCGAAGGCGGCUUACUGGACUGUAACGGACGUUGAGGCUCGAAAGCGUGGGGAGCAAACAGG